rnacentral:rRNA from 1 species
UUUUCUCAAGGAAGAAGAUCUGACGGUACUUGAGGAAUAAGCCACGGCUAAUUCCGUGCCAGCAGCCGCGGUAAUACGGGAGUGGCAAGCGUUAUCCGGAAUUAUUGGGCGUAAAGCGUCCGCAGGCGGCUUUGUAAGUCUGCUGUCAAAGCGUGGAGCUCAACUCCAUUUCGGCAGUGGAAACUACGAGGCUUGAGUGUGGUAGGGGCAGAGGGAAUUCCCGGUGUAGCGGUGAAAUGCGUAGAUAUCGGGAAGAACACCAGUGGCGAAGGCGCUCUGCUGGGCCAUAACUGACGCUCAUGGACGAAAGCCAGGGGAGCGAAAGGGAUUAGAUACCCCUGUAGUCCUGGCCGUAAACGAUGAACACUAGGUGUCGGGGGAAUCGACCCCCUCGGUGUCGUAGCCAACGCGUUAAGUGUUCCGCCUGGGGAGUACGCACGCAAGUGUGAAACUCAAAGGAAUUGACGGGGGCCCGCACAAGCGGUGGAGUAUGUGGUUUAAUUCGAUGCAACGCGAAGAACCUUACCAGGGUUUGACAUCCUGCGAAUCCCUUGGAAACGAGGGAGUGCCUUCGGGAGCGCAGAGACAGGUGGUGCAUGGCUGUCGUCAGCUCGUGUCGUGAGAUGUUGGGUUAAGUCCCGCAACGAGCGCAACCCACGUCUUUAGUUGCCAGCAUUAAGUUGGGCACUCUAGAGAGACCGCCGGUGAUAAACCGGAGGAAGGUGUGGAUGACGUCAAGUCAUCAUGCCCCUUACAUCCUGGGCUACACACGUACUACAAUGCUACGGACAAAGGGCAGCAAACUCGCGAGAGCUAGCAAAUCCCAUAAACCGUGGCUCAGUUCAGAUCGUAGGCUGCAACUCGCCUACGUGAAGGAGGAAUCGCUAGUAAUCGCAGGUCAGCAUACUGCGGUGAAUACGUUCCCGGGCCUUGUACACACCGCCCGUCACACCAUGG